UACGUAGGGAGCAAGCGUUGUCCGGAAUCAUUGGGCGUAAAACGCGUGUAGGCGGCCAGACAGGUCAGCUGUGAAAACUCGAGGCUCAACCUCGAGACGUCGGUUGAAACCGUCUGGCUAGAGUCCGGAAGAGGAGAGUGGAAUUCCCGGUGUAGCGGUGAAAUGCGCAGAUAUCGGGAAGAACACCCGUGGCGAAGGCGGCUCUCUGGGACGGUACUGACGCUGAGACGCGAAAGCGUGGGGAGCGAACAGG
rnacentral:rRNA from 1 species